AAUGCAGCAAUCUCAUUUACUUCAUAAUGUCUUCAAUUACUUACUGCUGAUAGUUGAUAGAGCACGAAAACAAUGCCAGUUUGUUAAUGUUAAUUUAUUACAUAUCGGUUGUAUGCUGAUGUUGCUGCAUGCUGAAUUUUAACACAGAGCGCAUCCCUCUAAACUUCUCGACUAUCAUCAAGUCAGUCGUGAAGCUUUCAACUGAAUAAACCUAUGCAACAUAAUUUCAGCUUAAAAGCUAUUAAUUAGCUGAUCUUAAGUAAUACAAAGUAAUAUAUCAAAUCGUAACAU